rnacentral:rRNA from 1 species
GCAGUAGCCGCGGGAAUACAGAGGGUGCGAGCGUUAAUCGGAUUUACUGGGCGUAAAGCGUGCGUAGGCGGCUUUUUAAGUCGGAUGUGAAAUCCCUGAGCUUAACUUAGGAAUUGCAUUCGAUACUGGGAAGCUAGAGUAUGGGAGAGGAUGGUAGAAUUCCAGGUGUAGCGGUGAAAUGCGUAGAGAUCUGGAGGAAUACCGAUGGCGAAGGCUGCCAUCUGGCCUAAUACUGACGCUGAGGUACGAAAGCAUGGGGAGCAAACAGGAUUAGAUACCCCCGUAGUCCCUGUCUCUUAUAA